GUAUUAGCCACUGCCCGCUAAAGGGUUUGAAGGAGGAAGGUUUCUGACUCCAGAUCAGAAGGUUGCGUGUUCAAAUCACGUCCGGGUCACCA